GAUGAACGCUGGCGGCGUGCCUAAUACAUGCAAGUCGAGCGAACGGACGAGAAGCUUGCUUCUCUGAUGUUAGCGGCGGACGGGUGAGUAACACGUGGAUAACCUACCUAUAAGACUGGGAUAAAUUCGGGAAACCGGAGCUAAUACCGGAUAAUAUUUUGAACCGCAUGGUUCAAAAGUGAAAGACGGUCUUGCUGUCACUUAUAGAUGGAUCCGCGCUGCAUUAGCUAGUUGGUAAGGUAACGGCUUACCAAGGCAACGAUGCAUAGCCGACCUGAGAGGGGGAUCGGCCAGACUGGAACUGGGACACGGUCCAGACUCCUACGGGAGGCAGCAGUAGGGAAUCUUCCGGAAUGGGCGAAAGCCUGACGGAGCAACGCCGCGUGAGUGAUGAAGGUCUUCGGAUCGUAAAACUAUGUUAUUAGGGAAGAACAUAUGUGUAAGUAACUGUGCACAUCUUGACGGUACCUAAUCAGAAAGCCACGGCUAACUACGUG
rnacentral:rRNA from 1 species